rnacentral:rRNA from 1 species
ACCAGACUCCUACGGGAGGCAGCAGUGGGGGAUAUUGCGCAAUGGGGGAAACCCUGAUGCAGCGACGCCGCGUGUAGGAAGACGGUCCUCUGGAUUGUAAACUACUGUCCCCAGGGACGAAGAUGACGGUACCUGGGGAGGAAGCUCCGGCUAAUUACGUGCCAGCAGCCGCGGUAAUACGUAGGGAGCGAGCGUUGUCCGGAAUUACUGGGUGUAAAGGGAGCGUAGGCGGGGAUGCAAGUUGGGUGUUAAAUCUACCGGCUCAACUGGUAGUCGCACUCAAAACUGCAGCCCUUGAGUGAAGUAGAGGCAGGCGGAAUUCCUAGUGUAGCGGUGAAAUGCGUAGAUAUUAGGAGGAACACCAGUGGCGAAGGCGGUCUGCUGGACAGCAACUGACGCUGAGGCGCGAAAGCGUGGGGAGCAAACAGGAUUAGAUGCCCCGGUAGA